GGGCGUGUAACUCAGUGGUAGAGUGCUCGCUUUGCACUAACAGUGUGGCUUGCGAGAAGCCCAGGGUUCGACUCCCUGCUCGUCCA